rnacentral:rRNA from 1 species
UGCGNGNCUACCGUGCAGUCGAACGGAUGUAAUCCUUCGGGAUUACGUUAGUGGCGGACGGGUGAGUAACGCGUGGAUAACCAACCGUAUAGAGGGGGAUAACACUGAGAAAUCAGUGCUAAUACCGCAUAAGCUUACAGCUUCGCAUGGAGCAGUAAGGAAAGAUUUAUCGCUAUACGACGGAUCCGCGUCUGAUUAGCUAGUUGGAGAGGUAGAGGCUCACCAAGGCGACGAUCAGUAGCCGACCUGAGAGGGUGAUCGGCCACAUUGGGACUGAGACACGGCCCAAACUCCUACGGGAGGCAGCAGUGGGGAAUAUUGCACAAUGGGCGCAAGCCUGAUGCAGCAACGCCGCGUGAAGGACGAAGGUCUUCGGAUUGUAAACUUCUAUCGAUGGGGACGAAAUAAAUGACGGUACCCAAGUAAGAAGCCCCGGCUAACUACGUGCCAGCAGCCGCGGUAAUACGUAGGGGGCAAGCGUUAUCCGGAAUUACUGGGUGUAAAGGGUGUGUAGGCGGUUAUAUAAGUCAUAUGUGAAAGACCAGUGCUCAACAUUGGGUGUGCAUAAGAAACUAUAUGACUAGAGUGCAGGAGAGGUAAGCGGAAUUCCUAGUGUAGCGGUGAAAUGCGUAGAUAUUAGGAAGAACACCGGUGGCGAAGGCGGCUUACUGGACUGAAAACUGACGCUGAGGCACGAAAGCGUGGGGAGCGAACAGGAUUAGAUACCCUGGUAGUCCACGCUGUAAACGAUGAGCGCUAGGUGUCGGCAAGAGAUUGUCGGUGCCGGAGCUAACGCAAUAAGCGCUCCACCUGGGGAGUACGUACGCAAGUAUGAAACUCAAAGGAAUUGACGGGGACCCGCACAAGCGGUGGAGUAUGUGGUUUAAUUNCGAAGCCACGCCGAAGAACCUUACCAAGGNCUUNGACAUGGAAAAUGACNCAUGUUANAAAUAUGUGUUNCCCUUCGGGGGCAUUUCCCCCCAGGUGGGUGCAUGGNUUGUCNUNCACCUCCNUGUCCGUGANAAUNUUUGGGNUUAAAGUCCCCNCCAACCGAGCGCCNACCCCU